UACGGAGGGGGCUAGCGUUGUUCGGAAUUACUGGGCGUAAAGCGCGCGUAGGCGGACCUGCAAGUCGGGGGUGAAAGCCCGAGGCUCAACCUCGGAACUGCCUUCGAUACUGCGGGUCUCGAGUCCGGGAGAGGUGAGUGGAAUUCCUAGUGUAGAGGUGAAAUUCGUAGAUAUUAGGAAGAACACCAGUGGUGAAGGCGGCUCACUGGCCCGGUACUGACGCUGAGGCGCGAAAGCGUGGGGAGCAAACAGG
rnacentral:rRNA from 1 species